AAAUUGAAGAGUUUGAUCAUGGCUCAGAUUGAACGCUGGCGGCAGGCCUAACACAUGCAAGUCGAGCGGAAACGAGUUAUCUGAACCUUCGGGGAACGAUAACGGCGUCGAGCGGCGGACGGGUGAGUAAUGCCUAGGAAAUUGCCCUGGUGUGGGGGAUAACCAUUGGAAACGAUGGCUAAUACCGCAUAAUGCCUUCGGGCCAAAGAGGGGGACCUUCGGGCCUCUCGCGUCAGGAUAUGCC
rnacentral:rRNA from 1 species